CUAUAAUAAACUUACAACUUAUUCAUUAUUACAGUUGCUGCACAAGAAUUCCACACCUGUUGUGUAAUAUGAUCUGAAGUUCAAGUAAUGAGUUGCUGCAGAAGAAUUCAACACCUGUUGUGUAUUAUGGUAUUGGUAUUUAGCUGAAGUUAGGUCAUGAGUAUUACAGUUGCUGCAGAAGAAUUCCACACCUGUUGUGUAUUAUGAUCUGAAGUUCAAGUCAUGAGUUGCUGCAGAAGAAUUCAACACCUGUUGUGAAUAAUGAUAUUGGUAUUCAACUGAAGUUCAGAUCAUGAGGUAAUUACUUAAAAGUUAUUAGUUAUUUAAUUUCAUCAUCUUUGAAUGGAUUUUUGUAUGAUAAUAACAUUUUCUUGGCUCUUAAAUGUACAUAGAGAUUGUUCAAUGAUCUUUUGAAUUUCAAGUAACUUUUUCGUAUUAUAGUAUAGAUUAUUGAUACAUUUGUAUUUCUAUUCCAAUUGCAGUACUUCUGAUGAAAACA